GAUUAACGCUAGCGGCAGGCCUAAUACAUGCAAGUCGAGGGGUAACAGGGUAGCAAUACCGCUGACGACCGGCGCACGGGUGAGUAACACGUAUGCAACCUACCUAUAACUGGGGAAUAGCCUUCCGAAAGGAAGAUUAACACCGCAUAACAUCACGAAACGGCAUCGUUUUGUGAUCAAACCUCCGGGGGUUAGUAGAUGGGCGAUGCGUAACAUUAGCUAGUUGGUGAGGUAACGGCUCACCAAGGCGGACGAUGUUUAGGGGGUC
rnacentral:rRNA from 1 species